UGCCCUUUGGUAUAAAAAGUGUGUGUGUGUUCUUGGCUGGCUUGUCUCUGUGUUGUCCUGUGAUGUGCAGGCAACUUGGCCAGAGCGUGCCCUUUCUCUCAUCCAAUGACGUCCGGAGAUAAGCACCUGGUCUUCCGCUGGCUUCCAAGUCAAUUUCUGGAUUCUAUCUACACCCCUGUCCAGGACAGCAUUCCUCGGGGACUUACUCCACAGUUGUCCACUACGUCUCCAAAAUCCCCUGCCGCUGUGUGCUUGCCCGCCUUCCAACGCUCUGCUCAUUCUCCACCUGGAUCUCCACCAUCUUCACCCUUGGAACACAGACCCAUGCUGUCCUCCCUCCAUCCACAACCUACCACCAGGCUCGCAACUCUCUCCUUUAACUCUUGGAAACACACCGGGAGAACCUCGGACUCCAAAUCACGCUUCAGUGUGCACAUUUAUCUUUGUACAUAAAUCCCUUUUGCAUUUUA